rnacentral:misc_RNA from 1 species
AGAGGGCCCACUGGGGUUGUUUGUUGAAUUCUAACACUUUCUCCUCUAGCGAAGUGGGUCCUGAUCCUGAAGCCAAUUUCUACCACACUCCACAAAAUGUCAAAAACCCAAAAAGCUUUUCUUCUUGAAAAAGUGAGAUGGAGGUUCUGGUCGAUGAUUUUGCUUGUUUUAUAUACACUUUGGUAAUGGCGUGGCCUCAGCCCUCAU